rnacentral:rRNA from 1 species
CAUACCGAGUCCGGACUCUUGCGGCCCAACCUCCC